rnacentral:lncRNA from 1 species
CUAUUUAAUCUGCCCUUUGAUUCCAUUUUCCAGCCAGCCUUUUAAUAAAUGAUGCUGUAUUUUCCAGGGUAUGCCAACCAUGAGAUGUCUCUGCAACUGCCUUGCUGUGUCCUGUGACCCCCAACAAGCCGUUUCUACUUCUCUUGUCUACUUUCACCAGCUUCUGUUUCUCACUGUCCUUGUUAGCGAAAAAGAUCACUCCUGAAAAUCUUAUGGAGUAUUCAGAUCUCGAGUUUCUCAGCCCACGAUAUCCAAACAGUUCAAUGUCUCAGUCACACCUAAGUUCAAAAGCAAAGUAAGGAAUCAGGUCUCCUGUAACAAGCUGGCCUCUAUCCAUUACAGCAGAGGCUGAGCUUGAAUUCCUGAUCUUCCUGAUUCCAGCUUCCAAGGCGAGAGUUACAGGAGGACCAUUAUGACUCAGAAAGUACAUGAAACAAGGAUAAGGAAACAAACAACCUUUGACCUCUCAGGAAGCUCCAGAGACAC